AUUCCUAUUGUGUAAAAUGUACUUACAGAUUUAUCUAUUUUCCUGUAUGUUCUAUCCGUGUAUGUUCCCCAUCCUAAAAGUAGUUCUGCAUUUAAACCCUUUUAUAAUGUGCCUUAUUUAUUCUUAAUGUUCCCUUCACCUACCUUCGAAAUGCACUCCAAUGGCUGGGGCAUCUGUCUAGCCUUGCUAUUGGGGCAUAUGUUUCAACGCCCUACUCUCAUGUGCCAAUAGAGGAAACUAUAGAAUAGCAGAUACUUGUGAGGUACAAUUUUUAAAAUAAAGGAACAUCUUACAAUACUGUUAUUCUUUGUCAGCUUUGGUUUUAACUUUCGUUACUUUAUUUUUAAGUAAAUGUAGAAAUAUAUAUAAAUUGCCUUUAAAAAUGG